CAGAAACCCGGACCAGGCUGGGUAAUCUGAAGUGGGGCACCCCUCCUCCCUGUCCCCUCCCCACUCCCCUACCCAUCCUUCCCAGUUGGCUGUCCCUGACCCGGGAGGAUCUCCGUUAAAGUAGAGAGGCAGGGUUCCCAGCUCUGGGCAGAGUCCAGGCAGGGAGACCUUGCCUCAUUAACGCCUGCCAAGGCAUUUGUCAUCUAAGAGUCCUUGAAACAUGAGGGGUCAUCCUUCCUUGCUGUUGGUCUAUAUGGGAUUGGCCACCUGCCUGGACACCUUACCUAAUGCAGACCAAGACGAAGUUCUUGAAGUUUUCCUGGAUCCCCCAGAGGCCCAAAGUUUCCUGGUUGGCCGCAGGAGGAUUCCUCGUGCUAACCACUGGGACCUGGAGCUGCUGACCCCUGGAAACCUUGAGCGGGAGUGUCAGGAGGAGAGGUGCUCCUGGGAAGAGGCCCGAGAGUGCUUUGAGGACAACACACUGACGGAGCGCUUUUGGGAGAACUACAAGUACAAUGGCAAGGGAGGGCGUAGAAGCUUGGAUGUUGCUGGCCUGGCGGUGGGGCUGACCUCGGGAAUCUUGCUUGUUGUACUGGCUGGCCUGGGAGCCUUUUGGUACCUGCAUUACCGACGGCAGCGCCUUAUCCAGAACCAAGAGUCCUGUCUGCAAGACUGGUGCCUACCUGCCUGUCUUCUGGAUACCGGGUUUCAUUACUUUGGGUACUAUUGCAAAUGUGUGGACCUGGGACUGUCUGCUUCAAGUGCCCGCCUACCUGCUGUUUCCUGGUUUACUCUGGACUGGGCUCAUCAGCCCCUUGAACCCACCAACGCCCCUGCCUCCACCCCAGCCUCCAGGCCUCCCCACCUAUGAGCAGGCACUUGCAGCCUCUGGGGUGCACGACGCUCCUCCGCCCCCUUACUCUAGCCUCAGAAGGCCUCACUGAAAACCUACCCAGGAGCCCCAGCUCCCCGCACUGUGCCUCUGGUUCAUACCGGAUUCCGGAAGUCCCCAGGCUUCUCAGACUCCUGGGCUGCAUUAUCGGGUGUGCAUGGGGGGAAGCAGUCAGGGUCGUCCCACCCGAGGCCUACUAUGGCACACGUGUUUCCGCCGCGUAGGGAACCACGCAUGUCCAUGCCCCUGUCCCUCGCGCGCCAAGGUUCCCAAGCUUUCUUGAGCUGCAAGACUUUGCAGUCCUGCAGCUCGGCCUCGGAGGAGUGGGCAUGCGGGCUUGGAAACUCGGACCCGGGGUUGGGCGUUCUUGCGUGUGUGUGCACAGAUGUGACUCGCCCCCCUCCACGGGGUGUGCACACUCAGGGAAGCUGGCCUAUGCACACGCGUGUCUUGGUGUCUGUCCUCACGCGCGCACAGGGGCGCUUCGUAACCCAACAUAAAGGUGGGGGCGCGUUUGCAAAGCGCUGGGAAGUGGGGGGGGUGUCAGGCCUGUGCUGCACCAGAGGAGCUGCACUUGAGCUGAACUGUCCCCUACCUACAAACCAUUGGGAAAAGGAAUCAAAAGAAAGAAACCCAGGAAAAAGCAAAAGUGAAACAAUGCAAAAAUAAAAAUAAAAAACAAAAAUGUAACGAACUGAACCGCGUUCCCGGGCGCAUCUACGCGCGGCGGAGCUGGUUUUUUUGUAUAGACGGUGCACCCUACAGGCU